AGCCCGGAAGUGGUUAGUUAGGGCGUCGCCAUGACAGUCUGUGGCCGGAAAGAGCGGCACGGCGCCGCCAUGACGGAGAGGGAGAGAAAGGUUUAGGGCGGCCUGCUCGUGCUGCCACGCCGGAUUAUGACCGGAAAAGACGGGCGCCACCAUGACAACCCGAACCGGAAGAGGCGAACCCUCCUGGGUGACUGCACGAGCACCUCCCUGUCACGAAGGGCGGAGCCUGGAGUUUGGGAAAGGAGGGCCAAUCGAGACGGGCCUUCAGGGGCGGGGCUUAGGGUGGAGGCGGGGCUUGUGGGAGUAGGUCGUGGGAGGGCUCUGUUAUGGGGCGGGGUUUGCGAGGGCGGGCCCUGUGGGGCGGAGCACAGGGGCGGGGUCCUGCUGAGGAGGUGGGAUUUGUGGGGGCAGAACGUGUGCGGCAGGCCCUUUUGUGGGGGCGGGUUUGAGAGCGCGCGUCCCACAGACGCGGGUCCUUCUGUGGGUGCAGAGCUUGAGAGGGUUGCCUUGGUCGGAGGUGCAGACCCGGUUGAAGUCUCCAGGGCAGCCAGGGCCAAGCCUCCAGAAGGUGGUUGCAGGGACCCAGGCACACCUAUCUCCGCUUCUUGAAACUAAGAGCCCAGCCCAGCCCCUGUCAGUGCCCUGCAGCUGUGAUCUCACCGGGCUGACAGCGGUGCCCCAGCCCUGCUGACCCACCCUGUUUGUGCUGGGGUGGGUGUGGGGAGCGACUGAAGCUGCAGAUGGACCGCACAUGCGGGACUAAAGCGAGGCCAGCUCUGAGAACAGAGUGCCCAAGCUUGAGAGCUGCACUGGACGUGCAGCAAAACUGUGGUACUCUGAAAAAGGAGAUUGAAGAGGACAUCAGAAAAUGGAAAGACAUCCCUUUUCCUGGAUAGACAGAACCAAUGUUAUCAAAAUGACCACACUACCAAAAGUGAUAUAUGAACUUCAUGCAAUACAAACGAAAAGAGCAAUAGCAUUCCUCAGAGAACUGGAGAAAACAAUCCUAAAAUUUAGAAGGAACCUGAAGGGACCCAGAAUAGCAACAGCAGUACUAGGCAACAAGAGCAAAGCAGGAAGCAUUGCAGUCUACAAUUUCAAGUUGUAUUGCGAAACUGCAGUGGUAAAAACAUCAUUGCACUCUCAUUAAAAGUCAUACAGAUUAAAGGAACAGAACAGAGGGUGCAGAAACAACCCUCAGCACAUUUAGCUGUCUGACGUUUAACAAAGGGGCCAAAAACAUUCACUGGAGGAAAGAUAGAAACUUUAGCAAAGGGUGUGGGGGAAACUGGCCAUGUACUGAACUAAAAUCAAAAUAGAUCAAAGAUCUAAAUACUCGAACGGAAGCAAUCUUCUGGGAGAUAAUAUAGGUAAAACUCUUAAAGACAGAGGCACAGGUGAGGACUUUCUAAACAGAACACUCUUCUUGAGAAACCACUUU